UACGGAAGGCAGCAGUGGGGAAUAUUGCACAAUGGGCGCAAGCCUGAUGCAGCCAUGCCGCGUGUAUGAAGAAGGCCUUCGGGUUGUAAAGUACUUUCAGUCGUGAGGAAGGUGUUAAGGUUAAUAACCUUAGCAAUUGACGUUAGCGACAGAAGAAGCACCGGCUAACUCCGUGCCAGCAGCCGCGGUAAUACGGAGGGUGCGAGCGUUAAUCGGAAUUACUGGGCGUAAAGGGCACGCAGGCGGUUAAUUAAGUUGGAUGUGAAAUCCCCGGGCUUAACCUGGGAAUGGCAUUCAAGACUGGUUAGCUAGAGUCUUGUAGAGGGGGUAGAAUUCCAUGUGUAGCGGUGAAAUGCGUAGAGAUGUGGAGGAAUACCGGUGGCGAAGGCGGCCCCUGGGACAAAGACUGACGCUCAUGUGCGAAAGCGUGGGGAGCAAACGAGGAUUAGAUACC
rnacentral:rRNA from 1 species